rnacentral:rRNA from 1 species
ACGUCUAAGCAGUAAGGCUGAGUAUUAGGCAAAUCCGGUACUCAUUAAGGCUGAGCUGUGAUGGGGAGAAGACAUUGUGUCUUCGAGUCGUUGAUUUCACACUGCCGAGAAAAGCCUCUAGAUAGAAAAUAGGUGCCCGUACCGCAAACCGACACAGGUAGUCAAGAUGAGAAUUCUAAGGUGAGCGAGCGAACUCUCGUUAAGGAACUCGGCAAAAUGACCCCGUAACUUCGGGAGAAGGGGUGCUCUUUAGGGUUAACGCCCAGAAGAGCCGCAGUGAAUAGGCCCAAGCGACUGUUUAUCAAAAACACAGGUCUCUGCUAAACCGUAAGGUGAUGUAUAGGGGCUGACGCCUGCCCGGUGCUGGAAGGUUAAGAGGAGUGGUUAGCUUCUGCGAAGCUACGAAUCGAAGCCCCAGUAAACGGCGGCCGUAACUAUAACGGUCCUAAGGUAGCGAAAUUC